rnacentral:rRNA from 1 species
GGAAUAUUGGGCAAUGGAGGGAGCUCUGACCCAGCGACGCCGCGUGCGGGAUGAAGGCCUUCGGGUUGUAAACCGCUUUCAGCAAGGAAGAAGCGAAAGUGACGGUACUUGCAGAAGAAGCACCGGCUAACUAUGUGCCAGCAGCCGCGGUAAUACAUAGGGUGCAAGCGUUGUCCGGAAUUAUUGGGCGUAAAGAGCUCGUAGGUGGUUCGUCACGUCGGAUGUGAAAAUCUGGGGCUUAACCCCAGACCUGCAUUCGAUACGGGCGAGCUAGAGUGUGGUAGGGGAGACUGGAAUUCCUGGUGUAGCGGUGGAAUGCGCAGAUAUCAGGAGGAACACCAAUGGCGAAGGCAGGUCUCUGGGCCAUUACUGACACUGAGGAGCGAAAGCGUGGGGAGCGAACAGGAUUAGAUACCCUGGUAGUCCACGCCGUAAACGGUGGGCACUAGUUGUGGGAACCUUCCACGGUUUCUGCGACGCAGCUAACGCAUUAAGUGCCCCGCCUGGGGAGUACGAUCGCAAGAUUAAAACUCAAAUGAAUUGACGG